UAUUCCACUCAGAAAAUUAACACCAAUUCAGCUAAAUAGCUAAUACACAAACACAAAGGAAAAUUAUACAAACCAAGUUCAUGUUGUUGCUUGAAUGAACUCUUCGCCAUCCUAAUUAUGCAACUUAGAAUGAUCUGG